rnacentral:rRNA from 1 species
UACGUAGGGGGCAAGCGUUGUCUGGAUUUAUUGGGCGUAAAGAGCGUGUAGGCGGCCAUACAGGUCAGCUGUGAAAACUCGAGGCUCAACCUCGAGACGUCGGUUGAAACCGUAUGGCUAGAGUCCGGAAGAGGAGAGUGGAAUUCCCGGUGUAGCGGUGAAAUGCGCAGAUAUCGGGAAGAACACCUAUGGCGAAGGCAGCUCUCUGGGACGGUACUGACGCUGAGACGCGAAAGCGUGGGGAGCAAACAGG